AUGAGUUGUAUCAGCUGGAACUAUCGGGGGCUUGGGAACCCCGAGGCUGUUCGUGAGCUUUGCAGUAUUGUGAGGCUAGAAGGACCCACUCUUCUCUUUGUUAUGGAAACGAAAAUAAAAGCAAAAAGAGUAGAGGAUUUCCAGAAUUUGCUAGGUUUUGGUGGCUGUUUUGCCAUAGACAGUGUUGGCCUCAGUGGCGGCAUUGGUCUUUUUUGGUCUAAUGAUGUUUCUGUCGAGUUGAAAACUUCAGUCGUUGCCAUAUUGAUGUUUUGGUUAGUAAUAAAGAUCAGAACUCUUCGUCAUGGAGGUUCACUGGUUUUUACGGAGCACCGCGUGUUGAAGAUAGACACAACAGUUGGUGGUUCUUGCGUACUCUAUAUACAUUACCACAUGCUGCAUGGAUGUGCAUGGGGGAUUUUAACGAGACCAUGUUUUCCAAUGAGCAUUUCAUUAGAGCUGCUCGUCCUGAGCGACAGAUGCGAGCUUUUAGGGAGGUGGUGGACGAUGUUUCCUUCUAGGACUUGGGCUGGUCAGGUAUGGCUUACACAUGGGACAAUCGACAAGACGGAGAGAACAAUGUGA
rnacentral:rRNA from 1 species